AGCUUUGCACAGUGGCAGUAUCGUAGCCAAUGAGUUUAUCCGAGGCGCGAUUAUUGCUAAUUAAAACAAAGAGAGGAAUUACUAUACCUUUUGCCUGAAGUUAGAAUGAUAAUAUUAAUGUGAAGAAAAAUAUUGC